CAUCUCACACCAGUCAGAAUGGCCAUCAUCAAAAAAUCUAGAAACAAUAAAUGCUGGAGAGGGUGUGGAGAAAAGGGAACACUCUUGCACUGCUGGUGGGAAUGUGAAUUGGUACAGCCACUAUGGAGAACAGUAUGGAGGUUCCUUAAAAAGCUACAAAUAGAACUACCAUAUGACCCAGCAAUCCCACUACUGGGCAUAUACCCUGAGAAAACCAAAAUUCAAAAAGAGUCAUGUACCAAAAUGUUCACUGCAGCUCUAUUUACAAUAGCCCGGAGAUGGAAACAACCUAAGUGCCCAUCAUCGGAUGAAUGGAUAAAGAAGAUGUGGCACAUAUAUACAAUGGAAUAUUACUCAGCCAUAAAAAGAAACGAAAUUGAGCUAUUUGUAAUGAGGUGGAUAGACCUAGAGUCUGUCAUACAGAGUGAAGUAAGUCAGAAAGAAAAAGACAAAUACCGCAUGCUAACACAUAUAUAUGGAAUUUAAGAAAAAAAAAUGUCAUGAAGAACCUAGGGGUAAGGCAGGAAUAAAGACGCAGACCUCCUAGAGAACGGACUUGAGGUUAUGGGGAGGGGGAAGGGUGAGCUGUGACAGGGCGAGAGAGAGUCAUGGACAUAUACACACUAACAAACGUAGUAAGGUAGAUAGCUAGUUGGAAGCAGCCGCAUGGCACAGGGAUAUUGGCUUGGUGCUUUGUGACAGCCUGGAGGGGUGGGAUAGGGAGGGUGGGAGGGAGGGAGACGCAAGAGGGAAGAGAUAUGGGAACAUAUGUAUAUGUAUAACUGAUUCACGUUGUUAUAAAGCAGAAACUAACACACCAUUGUAAAGCAAUUAUACCCCAAUAAAGAUGUUAAAAAAUUAAAAAAAAAAAAAAAAUAA